rnacentral:lncRNA from 1 species
AUGCCGCACUUCGAUGUACGUAAAAUGCAUUACCAGUGUACUUAGACUUUAGUGCGCGUUGACUGAGCUCCAGGUGGUGGAAGUAAUCCUCAGUCGGUCCGCAAUAUCCGGUUAUCUUGUAAUCGCGUUGUGAUUACGUCAGGUGCUAGUAUUUGGUUACUUUCACUGCAUAAGUGACUUGUGUAUCAUUCCAGCUAUACGAACUGUCGGUGUCGUCGAGGCUAUGAGCCGCUCAAGAAAAAAAAAACCAUGGACAACGAUCGAACUGCUUCCUUGGCAAUUCUGAACGGAAUCCCGGAAGAGCCAUCGUUACCACCUGCUUCAUCAACGGUAUCUAACUUUAAGGUGAGCGACCAACCAGGUUUAGAAAGAUUGUGCGCUUUCAAUGACUACUGCCACUUGCGAGCUUUUUGUGCAAUCGAGUCUUUCUAGAUUAACUUCGGCACGGUUGCUGCCUUGUCGGGUCUUCUCCGUGACGAAACCGAAAGGGGACUGGAUCAGCAAGCGUCGCAUAUAGCUUCAGGUUUCAUGAACCUGAAGUCUUGUGCGAAUUUAGCAGCAGGUUGUGGCUACAGUAAAAGGACAAGCAACACCACACACACAAUAGUUAUACCUUAGGCAGGUUGCGUACAGGACGUCUUGUGGAGCUAGGCGCCAUUCUGUAAAGGCCAACGUUCGGUGGGUAUGUACCCAAUUGGUGCUUGUCUUCUCAAACGUCCAUCUACAUUAAGUCCUGCUGUAGCCACAGUCACCACACGAGUCGUGUGGUAAUGCGGGCUCUUAGCUAACACUAGGCAGGAUUUAGCAGACAAUAGGCAGGGUUUAACUGUUAGAAGUUCCCUUGCGUUUUCGUCGGAGGAGACUCCAUUCUGAAUGUCGUUGCACUCCCUGCCAGCUUUCGCGGUUGCGAAACGGCAUUUAGGAGUCUUAAUGCUGAGUUUUUCCUGCAUUAAAAAUUGUAAUAGGUAUCAAUUAGGAGCCCAGUGCGUCCUGGCCAUGCCAAGGCACAAGAGCACGUGCGCUUCUAUUCAUAUUGUUUCACUCAUGUCCAGUCUUGUUAUAGUAUUACUCUUGCAGUCCGUGUCCUUCGAUGGCGGGCGUGUUCUAUUGCGAUGAUCACUUGCCCUCCACCUUUGGCCUUCAAGUCUCGUCUUCUGUAAUCCUGACAUUAAGGGAGAUCGUGCAUGGAUCACCUGUGGCCUUGUGGGCAGACCGGAUUGGUUCGUAGUCAGCAUUGAUUGUUCUUACGUUCCUUAUUUCACGAUAUCUCCAUAAGGUGUUUCAGAUACCUAUGACCUUACUGGUGUGCUGACCAUAAGGUAGCUGCCACGUAGCUCCUGCAUGGGCCCCACUCGUCCAAGAUCCGGUGUUCCAGUCCUCUCUCCCGUUCUUCAAACCUUGUUCAAGCAAGGUUCUCAACGUACGCAUCUGGUGCAACCCGAAACUGCCUGCAGUAUUCGCACCACUAGCGUUGACGUCCGUCCACCCACGUCGCACUUGCUUACUGGCGCAGACAUUCUUCCUGGAUAACAUCCUCUUCGUGUUGCCUCCUUCACCUGAACCGGGAACUACGAACCAGGAACCACGGACAACAUUUAUCGUCGGCGAUUCCUCAAGGACCAC